rnacentral:lncRNA from 1 species
UGUGCUCACUUGACCUGUCUGAUGUGCAGCCGUGGGCAGCUGGCUGAGGGUGGCAGGGCACUUGGCUAACCCAAAGUGACACAUGCCUGGCGGGACGUUCAGUCUUUGUAAA